ACCGCGUGGGUGAAGAAGGCCUUCGGGUUGUAAAGCCCUUUUGUUGGGAAAGAAAAGCAAUCGAUUAAUACUCGGUUGUUCUGACGGUACCCAAAGAAUAAGCACCGGCUAACUUCGUGCCAGCAGCCGCGGUAAUACGAAGGGUGCAAGCGUUACUCGGAAUUACUGGGCGUAAAGCGUGCGUAGGUGGUUGUUUAAGUCUGUUGUGAAAGCCCUGGGCUCAACCUGGGAAUUGCAGUGGAUACUGGGCGACUAGAGUGUGGUAGAGGGUAGUGGAAUUCCCGGUGU
rnacentral:rRNA from 1 species